GUUGUGAGCAGCAGUAGUGUGCCAUUUAUCCACCAAUUAUUCUGGUUCUCCAGCUAAGGUGCAUCUAGUGUAGUUAGUGAAAUAGUCUAGUAUCUACUGCCCUAGUUGCUCCUUCUGGCUGGAGCACUUGUAUCYCAACUCUGGACAUUUGGUGUCAGCAGUUUCAUCUGUUUCCUGUCACUAUUAUUUUCUGACCUGUGAGCUAGCAUAUGUCACAAUUUGGAAUUAAGUGUUAUAUUUUGAAAACAUUUUAGUAUAAAAAGUAAAUACCACUACCUCACUGCAUGUUCUUUCAUAUUUCUGGUAUUAUGUAUUAGUCAUAAGUUAUCAGACUUUUUUUGUAGUUUGUGUCAAGUUUUGUUGGGGUAUUCCAAGUUCUAGAAUAUUCUAUGUUGUAUUGUCCUGGCAGUUCCAAAGUGCUCACAGUGCAGGUAGUUUAAAUGGACCUACUGCAGUGUGUGCACUUCAAGUAUUGCCGGUCACCCUCCCUUUGAAGCUCACUACUGAGACCACCUUGAAGAGAUCCAUGGCACAUCAUGGGUUUACUGUGAGUUUUGCAGGUUUGCUUUCAGCUUCUGAAAAUAUCCGCUGUGCAAAUCCAUGCAAAACUCUCUGUACCUGAGAGACUCAACAAACAGAGAAGAGCUUCUGUUCCCCUGGGUCCCGUUGUAUUGUUUUAUAUUGUUCAGAAAACUGC
rnacentral:miRNA from 1 species